rnacentral:rRNA from 1 species
UACGUAGGGGGCAAGCGUUGUCCGGAAUUAUUGGGCGUAAAGCGCGCGCAGGCGGUUAUUUAAGUCUGGUGUUUAAACCUUGGGCUCAACCUGGGGUCGCACUGGAAACUGGGUAACUUGAGUACAGAAGAGGAAAGUGGAAUUCCACGUGUAGCGGUGAAAUGCGUAGAGAUGUGGAGGAACACCAGUGGCGAAGGCGACUUUCUGGGCUGUAACUGACGCUGAGGCGCGAAAGCGUGGGGAGCAAACAGG